CAGUCGCCGCGGGAAUACGUAGGGUGCAAGCGUUAAUCGGAAUUACUGGGCGUAAAGCGUGCGUAGGCGGUGAGUUAAGUCUGCUGUGAAAUCCCCGGGCUCAACCUGGGAAUGGCAGUGGAUACUGGCUCGCUAGAGUGUGUCAGAGGAUGGUGGAAUUCCCGGUGUAGCGGUGAAAUGCGUAGAGAUCGGGAGGAACAUCAGUGGCGAAGGCGGCCAUCUGGGACAACACUGACGCUGAGGCACGAAAGCGUGGGGAGCAAACAGGAUUAGAUACCCCAGUAGUCCAUGUCUCUUAUAC
rnacentral:rRNA from 1 species